rnacentral:rRNA from 1 species
UACGUAGGGUGCAGGCGUUAAUCGGAAUUACUGGGCGUAAAGCGUGCGCAGGCGGUUUGCUAAGACAGGUGUGAAAUCCCCGGGCUUAACCUGGGAACUGCGCUUGUUACUGGCAGGCUUGAGCAGAGUAGAGGCAGGUGGAAUUCCCGGUGUAGCGGUGGAAUGCGUAGAGAUCGGGAAGAACAUCGGUGGCGAAGGCGGCCUUCUGGUCCAGUACUGACACUCAAGUGCGAAAGCGUGGGGAGCAAACAGG